GAACAAUAUUGUUAACAAGUUGUUGAACCAUCAACAUUGUUGCAACUUGUUGACAAUCAUGUUAACAACUUGCAACAGUACUGAUGGUUGAACAACUUGUUAACAAUAUUGUUC